GGAAAUCUUACCGGGUCCGGACAUACCGAGGAUUGACAGACUGUUAACUGCAACACAUGCUGCUAAGUUUUAAACUUAAUAGCUCUUUCAUGAUUAUAUGAUAGGUGGUGCAUGGCCGUUCUUAGUUCGUGGAGUGAUCUGUCUGCUUAAUUGCGUUUCAAAAUUUAAACCUGAGCGACAAGGUGCUACUAUCGAAACUGUCUUUGAGUGUGAACUAUAAGUCUUUUGACUUAUGACCAUCACUCUAGACGUUUAUGUUUUGGUGUUGGCCCUUGAUGCUCAUUUGAACGCAACGGACGUGAUUGCAACCCCUUGUUGAGAUUUAUCCGAUCUCUACGUUCACUGAACCACACUCUUUAGCGAGAGCAGUGGGGAUGUGGAUAAACUCGGGGGAGUGCUGACUAUAAACUUU
rnacentral:rRNA from 1 species